rnacentral:lncRNA from 1 species
CAUUACUUACCAUUAUCCCAGGGCCUCAUCUGGGCACCUGGUCUUCGCGUUCCAUACCGUGCCAGGCCGUAGAAUGGGGUCCUGGUCUUUCAUACCGUGCCAGGCCGUAGAAUGGGGUCCUGGUCUUUCCUCAGGGACUAAUUGGAUCAUACAGCAUUCACCCACAUCCACAACAAAGAAUGCAGUGCAACAUAUUCGUGGAUUCUAAUGCAACAACCUAUUAU